UACGUAGGUGGCAAGCGUUGUCCGGAAUCAUUGGGUGUAAAGGGAGCGCAGACGGAACUGCAAGUCUGAUGUGAAAGCCCGGGGCUCAACCGCGGGACUGCAUCGGAUACUGUGGAUCUGGAGUGCCGGAGGGGCAAGCGGAAUUCCUGGUGUAGCGGUGAAAUGCGUAGAUAUCAGGAGGAACACCGGCGGCGAAGGCGGCUUCCUGGUCUGUAACUGACACUGAGGCGCGAAAGCGUGGGGAGCAAACAGGAUUAGAUA
rnacentral:rRNA from 1 species